rnacentral:rRNA from 1 species
AUUGAACGCUGGCGGCAUGCUUUACACAUGCAAGUCGAACGGCAGCGCGGGCUUCGGCCUGGCGGCGAGUGGCGAACGGGUGAGUAAUGCAUCGGAACGUGCCCAGUAGUGGGGGAUAGCCCGGCGAAAGCCGGAUUAAUACCGCAUACGACCUGAGGGGGAAAGCGGGGGACCGAAAGGCCUCGCGCUAUUGGAGCGGCGGAUGUCGGAUUAGCUAGUUGGUGGGGUAAAGGCUUACCAAGGCGACGAUCCGUAGCUGGUCUGAGAGGACGACCAGCCACACUGGGACUGAGACACGGCCCAGACUCCUACGGGAGGCAGCAGUGGGGAAUUUUGGACAAUGGGGGCAACCCUGAUCCAGCCAUGCCGCGUGCGGGAAGAAGGCCUUCGGGUUGUAAACCGCUUUUGUUCGGGAAGAAAUCCUCUGGGCUAAUACCCCGGGGGGAUGACGGUACCGGAAGAAUAAGCACCGGCUAACUACGUG